rnacentral:rRNA from 1 species
UACGAAGGGUGCAAGCGUUAAUCGGAAUUACUGGGCGUAAAGCGCGCGUAGGUGGUUCGUUAAGUUAGGAGUGAAAGCCCCGGGCUCAACCUGGGAAUUGCUUCUAAAACUGGCGAGCUAGAGUAUGGUAGAGGGUGGUGGAAUUCCUAGUGUAGCGGUGAAAUGCGUAGAUAUUAGGAGGAAUACCAGUGGCGAAGGCGACUUUCUGGACUUAUACUGACGCUGAGGAACGAAAGCGUGGGGAGCAAACAGGAUUAGAUACCCUGGUAGUCCCUGAGCGGG